GAUAACGGCGUCGAGCGGCGGACGGGUGAGUAAUGCCUAGGAAAUUGCCCUGAUGUGGGGGAUAACCAUUGGAAACGAUGGCUAAUACCGCAUGAUGCCUACGGGCCAAAGAGGGGGACCUUCGGGCCUCUCGCGUCAGGAUAUGCCUAGGUGGGAUUAGCUAGUUGGUGAGGUAAGGGCUCACCAAGGCGACGAUCCCUAGCUGGUCUGAGAGGAUGAUCAGCCACACUGGAACUGAGACACGGUCCAGACUCCUACGGGAGGCAGCAGUGGGGAAUAUUGCACAAUGGGCGCAAGCCUGAUGCAGCCAUGCCGCGUGUGUGAAGAAGGCCUUCGGGUUGUAAAGCACUUUCAGUCGUGAGGAAGGCGGUGUAGUUAAUAGCUGCAUCGUUUGACGUUAGCGACAGAAGAAGCACCGGCUAACUCCGUGCCAGCAGCCGCGGUAAUACGG
rnacentral:rRNA from 1 species